rnacentral:rRNA from 1 species
UACGGAGGGGGCUAGCGUUGUUCGGAAUUACUGGGCGUAAAGCGCGCGUAGGCGGCUUUGUAAGUUAGAGGUGAAAGCCCGGAGCUCAACUCCGGAAUUGCCUUUAAGACUGCAUCGCUAGAAUCAUGGAGAGGUUAGUGGAAUUCCGAGUGUAGAGGUGAAAUUCGUAGAUAUUCGGAAGAACACCAGUGGCGAAGGCGACUAACUGGACAUGUAUUGACGCUGAGGGGCGAAAGCGUGGGGAGCAAACAGG